GACGAACGCUGGCGGCGUGCUUAACACAUGCCAGUCGAACGGAAAGGCCUUUUCGGAGGUACUCGAGUGGCGAACGGGUGAGUAACACGUGGGUGAUCUGCCCUGCACUCUGGGAUAAGCCUGGGAAACUGGGUCUAAUACCGGAUAGGACCGCACUUUAGUGUGUGUGGUGGAAAGUUGUUUCGGUGUAGGAUGAGCCCGCGGCCUAUCAGCUUGUUGGUGGGGUAAUGGCCUACCAAGGCGGCGACGGGUAGCCGGACUGAGAGGUUGGUCGGCCACAUUGGGACUGAGAUACGGCCCAGACUCCUACGGGAGGCAGCAGUGGGGAAGAUUGCACAAUGGGCGCAAGCCUGAUGCAGCGACGCCGCGUGGGGGAUGACGGCCUUCGGGUUGGAAACUCCUUUCGCCAGGGACGAAGCGUUUUGUGACGGUACCUGGAGAAGAAGCGCCGGCUAACUACGUG
rnacentral:rRNA from 1 species